rnacentral:rRNA from 1 species
GACGAACGCUGGCGGCGUGCCUAAUACAUGCAAGUCGAACGAGUGGCGGACGGGUGAGUAAUGUCUGGGAAACUGCCUGAUGGAGGGGGAUAACUACUGGAAACGGUAGCUAAUACCGCAUACCAUCGGAUGUGCCCAGAUGGGAUUAGCUAGUAGGUGGGGUAAAGGCUCACCUAGGCGACGAUCCCUAGCUGGUCUGAGAGGAUGACCAGCCACACUGGAACUGAGACACGGUCCAGACUCCUACGGGAGGCAGCAGUGGGGAAUGUUGGACAAUGGGGGAAACCCUGAUCCAGCCAUCCCGCGUGUGCGAUGAAGGCCUUCGGGUUGUAAAGCACUUUUGGCAGGAAAGCGGUACCUGCAGAAUAAGCACCGGCUAACUACGUGCCAGCAGCCGCGGUAAUAC